GCCCCAGCCUGUAAGCCGCGCCGAGCCGAGCCGUGCGGGCCGGAGCCGCCCGGGCCCGGUCUCCAAGAGGCUCGACACGGGGCCACGUGGGCCAGGUCCAAUCCCCGCCCCGGGCUAGCGCGGAAGCGCGCGGAGGGGGGCCCCGCGCAGCCAGCUCCGGCUACCGGCAGCCUCCGUGCUCCGGGCCUGGCCCGGACCAAUUCCCCGUUGAAUUACAUCCGUGCCAGUGUCUUCAUUAUGCAAAUGUCGGCUCCGUCCCGCCUGCCCUUGCCUGGAGCCCGUCCGAGCAAAGCCGGUACAGCCCCAGGGCUGUUUCCCGUGCAACCCCCCCCUCCCGCCCCCGCCCCAAGACAAGCUUCAGACAGCGAGUCUAACGUCUCCGGCAGGUAAGCGGGUGUUAUGCGGGGUGCCCAGAUUUCCCGCUGCUGAAAAUGCGGCGACGCCGGGCAGCCUGGUGACAGCGCUACCCCAGAAGAAGCUCCCCAACCCCGAGCUGGUGGAGGGGGUGAGAAAGGUCCAUGAGACAUCAGGCUUUUCCCCCAUCAGAAAAAGCUCACGCUCAGUGGGGUGCAGGGGUCACCAGUAGUGUGGCAGUGUACAGUGAGAAGGGAGGCGUUGGGGCAGUUUAAACCCCAGGGUCCUGUAGACCCUAAAACCAGCAUUUAUCCUCGUGCAAAAUGAGCAUUACUUGGGGGGGUCUUGGAUGUGAAGAAUGCCUGGGGGGGCCCUAAGCCCUUUUUUCAACCGGUUUAAACCUAUAAAUAGGGACAGAAAACUGGACAAGGCUGUUAAAGAAACACCACUGAUACAAGACUUUUGGUGUCAUGGGAAGAAACGAUAUGACUUAUCAAGUGUUAUCCCUGAAGAAGAAACGUUGAAGGGGACCAAGAAAUUUCCCUCUGAAUCAGCGACAGUUGGAAUCAAGGGUAUUAGACACUUCGAUUUUGAGCAGCCCAGCACAUCCAAUUCCAUUGUUACACAGAACCAACUGUCUUUAAAAAGGGCCAAAAAAUCUACUACUGAAACAACAGCAGUUGGGAGCAAGGGGGUCAGACUCCCCGAUUUGGAACCACCCUGCACCACCAGGGCCAAAAAAUCUACCUCUGCAGCUUCCAGGGACACUGGUUAAGCGAUCCAAAGGGAUUAAAACCCCUAGUUCUCAACAACCCCAAGCCUUUAUAGCCCCAAAGGAACCAGCUUUAAAAAGGGUAAAGGCAACAAUCCUGUAGCAGCACCUGUGUCCAGGGGUGGAUUUGAGCAGAGUCAAGAGGCCAGCCCCCCGGCUUCUGGGCAAAGCAGAACCUCUGCUACAAAUAAGAACCACCCCGUAGGUCUUGCUGCAUCAGUUGUUGUUUGUAAUGAGCUGUUUAGUGUUUGUAGAUCUCUUAAGCGUUUAACAGAUAAAAAGUUUUUGAAGCUAAUUCUUGAGGUGUUUCAAAAGCAAAAUGCUCCAGAAGAAAGGCUGGUUUUGGACCAAAAGAUAACAGAGACCCGUGCACUGCUUGAAAAGUUGGAAAGCAUGUUAAAGGCGGAAGGGAGGGUGUGACUAAACAUGAAACCUAAAAACAUAAAGAGGGGUUGGAGGAAAAAUGGAAGAGAUCUAAAAAAUUGAGGAGGCUUUUGGCCAAAAACCUUUAAAAAGCCAGAGUUAUUUUAAGAAAACAAUCCCCCAACCAGGAAAGGGAAAUAGACAUAGACCCCUCGACCCCCUUUUCUGAAGGUCCAGAUUCUCCCGCUCCUAAUAUACCACCUCCGGUGUAUUUGGAACAUGUAAGACACUGGAUAAGACCCUGAAGAGAGUUUAACGCUUAUGAAUAUUUUCAAGAAUUUCGUUUCACUAAUUUGGACAGAGUAAUGGGUUUACAGAGGCCAUGGCGGCCGUUGACACCACUAUUCAAAAUUUGCUAGAUGAUAUUAAUAAUCAGGUGGGCCCUGAAGAUUUAGUACAGCUACGCUUAGAUGCCCUGGGGCUAAAUCACCCACUUUUUUCUCUAUGGAGACCUUGGGAAGAUUUAAACACCGUAGAUUUUUUAAAUAACAUCAUUACGGUGUUGCAAAGUAACGCUGAGAUUGUUGGGUUCGUAUCUCUAAGACUGGUUGUUAUGAUUAUUAGAAACAGGGCUGGUGGAGGUGGGGUUGUAAGACCCUUAAAAACUAUCACAUACAGUAAAAUCAUUGGGAAAAAAAGAAAACAUUUAAUUGAUUUAAAUAACCAAGGUAACAAUCUGUGUUUUGCUGGUAGCAUGCUGCAUCUUUUAUCAGAUGAAAAACUUACAGAUGCCCAGAGGGGGCCAGGCAUUUCCAUCAGGAGUUGGGGUCUUCGGACCAAAAAAUGAUUAGCUUUACCAACGUGAGCUCUUUUGAAGAGUGCUUAGGCCUGGCUAUUACCUUUAUGUAUCCUGAAAAUGGAAAUUGGUCCUUUUUUACAACGGCUGGUGUACAGUGCCCCAAUACUGUUUUUGUUCUGUUACAUGACAAACAUUAUUAUGGCAUCCUAAAUAUUAAAGCCUUUAUAGGCGCACGGUAUUUGUGCAACUACUGUUACGCCACGUGCAGCCACAAACAUCAGCAUGCCUGUAAAAAUCACUGUCGUACGUGUAAUAGCACUGAGUGCCUAGAAGUGGCCACUGAAAAAAAAAGAUGCCCCAGCUGUAAGCUAUUUUGCAGGUCCAAGGCCUGUUUAGAAAGGCACAGCGCUCUGGUAAAAGAUGGUAAAGUUGAUUGUAAAAACAGAAGUCUUUGCGAUAAGUGCGGCAUCUAUGAGGUUAAAAAUCACAGGUGUAAAAGCAAAAAAUGUCCCCAGUGCUAUCAGAAGACCGACAACAUAGAGGGUCACGAGUGUUAUAUGCGUAAUAUUUGGUCUCCAGAAGAAGGGAAGGAUUAUGUGUUUUAUGAUUUUGAAUGCAUGCAAGAAAUGGGGGUACACGUGCCAAAUUCUGUUUAUGCCUUGCACCUAGAUAAAGAAACCAGCUGGGAAUUUAAGGGUGAAGAAUGCAUGAACGAGUUUGUUUGAACCUUCAUAGACAAACGCUUUAAGGGAUACACAUUUAUCACUCAUAACGCUAAAGGUUACAAUUGUUAUUUUAUCCUUAGACAGUUGAUUAAAGAAAAAAAAUGGCCGUCAGCCCCGUAACGCAAGGUAGGAAACUAAUGUGCGUAACGGUGGUGGACUUAGACAUCAGAUUUAUAGAUUCUUUAAAUUUUCUUCUCAUGAAACUUAGCAAGUUACCCAAAGCUGUGGGGUUUGAGGAAGUCAAGGGGUACUUUCCACAAUUUUUUAACACAGCUGAAAAUCAGAACUAUGUGGGACCUAUGCCCGGGAUAAAGUACUUUGGAGUAGAAUACAUAAUGCGUGAAGAAAGAAAGGAAUUUCUGAACUGGUUCCAACACAAUCACCAGAACAAAUUCGAUCUCCAGAAAGAACUGCGCUAUUGUUGCCAAAAAGAUGUUGAAAGUUUGCGAGAGGCUUGCGAACAGUUCCCAGAAAUGAAGUCAUAAAAAUGACCGAGAAGCAGAUUGUUAAAAGCCCAGGACAGGAUGAGGAGGAGGUGGUCACUAAGUGUAUAGACCCCUUUCAGGUUUCAGAGUAGCAGCCGUGUUAGUCUGUAUUCGCAAAAAGAAAAGAGGACUUGUGGCACCUUAGAGACUAACAAAUUUAUUAGAGCAUAAGCUUUCCUGAGCUACAGCUCACUUCAUCGGAUGCAUUUGGUGGAAAACUUUCAGUACCUUACAUUAGCCUCGAUUUGCAUGGCCAUGUACUGGUUUAAUUUUUUAAAACUGCAAACCAUAGCCCUUCUGCCAUUAGACAAUUACCACAAACAGCAGAAGAGAUAUUCCAUCCCGGCCAUUCAAUGGUUGCUGUACGUAGCCCACACUGAGAACAUUUACAUCCAACACGCAUUGCAGGGUGGGGAGGUUAAAGCGGGGGUCCUAUUUUCUGGAUGAUUACAUUGUCAUAGCAGGUAAACCCACAGCCUUUGAAUUUAACAGAUUUUUUUUUUCACGACUGCCCUGUCUGCUGUUGUGAAAAUGAUUACAAUCCGUUGCUUCAUGCGACCUACGGACACGUGUACAAGCGAACCCUGAUUAAGGCAGAAUUUCUAAAAAGACAGGGGGUUGAGGUAAGGACCGUGUGGGAACACGAAUGGCAGGCUAUGCUAGCUAAUGAUAACCAGGGGAAGGGGGGGAUUUGCCACAGCCUUUGGUUCCUAGAGACGCCCUUUACGGUGUAGAACGAAUGCCAUCUGCCUUUAUUACAAACCGCAGCCCGGGGAGCAGAUUCAUGACUAUGAUUUUACCAGCCUCUACCCUUGUGUUAACAAGACUAAACAAUACCCUGUGGGACGCCCCAUUAUUGUGUAUGAGGGUUUUGGGGAUAUCAGACAGGACUUUGGCAUCACCAAGGUUAAAUUGUACCCUCCGAGAGACAGGUUUCAGAGCAGCAGCCGUGUUAGUCUGUAUUCGCAGAAUAUUCGAAAGAAAAGGAGGACUUGUCUCUAAGGUGCCACAAGUACUCCUUUUCUUCCUCCGAGAGACCUGUAUUGCCCCGUAUUACCAUAUAGGGUCGGUGGUAAACUAAUGUUCCCCGUGUGCCAUUUGUGCAGAAACAAAACAAAAGGACCCCUGCACACACAGUCAGGAGGAGAGGGCUUUAACAGGAACUUGGUGCACAAUAGAGUUGGUGGAGGCUUUAGACAAAGGGUACAGAAUUGCUGAGAAUUAUGAAGUCUGGCAUUUUAACCGCUCUUCAGAUGCCCUGUUUUCAGACUACAUUAAAACACACCUGAGACAGAAACAAAAGGCCUCGGAGUUGGAAGUACGCAAAAGAGCGCUGCACCCAUUCCAGCAACACUAAUGUGUUUAUAGUGUGCUUGACCGUCGCUUAUGCCAGGCUAGAGCACUACCGCCUGUUAGACCGCUUACAGGAGCAAUGUCUUUAUCAAGACACGGACUCUGUAAUUUUUGUGAGUAAAGAAGGGGAGUGGAACCCACCCCUAGGGGAUUAUUUAGGGGAUCUGACCAGCGAAAUGCCACCAGAUGAACACAUCGUGGAUUUUGUGUCCGCUGGGCUUAAAACAUAUGAGUACAAACUGUCCAGCAGUAAGACCUGUAUGAAAGUAAAAGGGAUCACGCUCAACUCAGGGAAUAGUGAGAAAAUUAAUUUUAAAAGCUUAAAAGAACUCGUCUGGGAUUACCCCGCGGGAGAGAUCCCAAAAGAUAUUGUGGCACAGCAGCCAGGAAUCGUAAGGGUAAAAAAGCACUGGUUGAUAGAAACGGGAACUCUGAAAAAAAACCAAAAAGUCGUUUACUACAAAAGAGCCAUCGAAACAGAUUUUAAAACCUUGCCAUGUGGGUAUUGAUUAUUAUGAAAAGCCACAUUCAGUUUGUUCACCCCUUUUCUUGUUUGCUUUGUGGCCCCUCAAAUUCUGGAAAAUCAUUUUUUAUAAAGCAAUUGUUAGAAAAUGGUAAUAAGUUGUUAUCGUGUAUGCCUGAAAAUAUUUUGUGGUGUUCCAGCUAUUGGCAACUGUUGUAUAAAGAGUUGCUGCAAAAAUUUCCAUGUAUUAUGUUUUUGGAAGGUUUACCUAAGACUUUUAAUGAUGAACAUUUAUUUCCUAGUAAUAAAGUAAAUAUGGUUAUUAUAGAUGAUCUAAUGGAGUCUGCUUCUGAAAGUGGCGAAAUCGAAAAAGCCUCUACAAAAUACAUACACCACAAAAACCUAAGUAUUAUGUACAUUGUGCAAAACGUGUUUUGUCAGGGUAAAAAAAGCCGAACAAUUAAUUUAAAUACUAAGUAUAUGGU